GGGCGAUGGGGCCCUCGGGGGGCGAUGGGGCCCUCGCGCAACCCUCAGGGCGCCCCGGUAAGGGAGGCCUGGGGGUGCGCUUUGAUGUGUCGCGACCUGCUCUGGCCGUUUCGGCUGCCCUGAAAACCCCGUGAGGGGAGUUUGGCCCAAGGGCAGAGCAGAAAGGGGUUGUGCCAAUUUACUGCCCAUCAAACCAGGCCAGUUGUUGGAAAAUGUGGAAUGUGUAAAAUUUUUACAUAGAAGAAGAAGGGAGAUUGAAUCCGUGAAACAGAGAGCAGCUAACAAGCUCUAAGCGAUGCCCAGGUGUUAGAAAGACAAACUACUUGUUGCUAGAAUUGCCUUAUUAAGGUUUAGGGCUGGACAUGCUUCAAAAAUCUCAGACAUAGGGGGAGGUUAACAGAGGCUGGGAAGAAGGAUGUACCACUGAUAGUGGACACAAAGAAUGCAGAAUUUGUGGGCCACAAGGACAUUUGAUAGAACUCCCAAGAUAAGGAAGAAACUAAUAAAGCCAGCUCAGCCACUGUGCUGAUCCAGCUCCAAUUGGGUUAAAGGUAAUUCUGGCAGGGGCAGAUCGUGACCACCAACUCAAAAAAUCCUCCGACCCAAGAGAAGAGAAAGACUGAGCAUGCAGACUAAUGAGCAGUGAAUCAUUAACAUAUAGAAUGCUAAUUAAUAAGAGUUCUAGGUACCUUGUAGCAAAUGAAUAUUAAUGCCUUUGUUUGCUUAAAUGUAUAAAUAGUGAAAAGUUUUGGUAGAUAUGUUGCUGGCUUUGUAAAUUUGCCACCUAGCAAAUUCUUCUCUCAGUGCAGAACUGUAAAUAAAUACCUCAACUCUGUGUGUGGAUUGGCCUCUCGCACACCUGGUGAAAGGACCUAUUUUGGGACAACACUAUUUUUGAUGAAUAUGUGUAAACCUUUAAUAAUCACUUUCAUAAGGCCCUAUGCCAUUAUUCUAAUGCACUGUAGUUUUUACAAGUGACUCUUUAGUAAAAACUCACCCAUUAGUAUUUUCUAUUUUACCUGUGAACAUCCAGUAAUAAUAAUACUUGUCCCUUCUUUGAAAUACUUAGAGAUCUGUGGUUGAAAUCAGUUACAUAAAAUUAAUUGCUAUAAAUUUACACAGAGUUCUCAUUCUGGAAGGGUCAGUGUGUGAAUUGUUCCUGUACGUGUUUAUCUAAAGACUAUUAUGUGGGAGCAGCCCCAUGCCAGAAAGCAAGCUAGCACAUAAUGGAAUUACUUCUCAGCUAAGAUAAAAAGCAGAAGGAUGAUGCUGUAAUAAUUUACAUUGUGUAUUAUGAAAUUCCUGUUACACAAAAUGUCAGUCUAGAUAUGAUCUUUCCUAUUAGUUCUGCAUGUGAAGUCAUUUUGGUGCUAUGCACAGUCCAUCUAGUAGAUCAGAGUAGUUCUAGAUAUUUGUGACAUGAGUUCAAAAAAAAGGAAUGCCCUUUUUUUUUUUUUUUCCCUGCAAGGCUGUGUUUUAGCUGUUCUAAUCAAACACCUACCUUAACUCCUCCUCUCCCAGGGCUUUUGUUUGUUUUAAGGUGUUUCCAAAACCACCUACGUGUACCAGGGAGUUUUAAUUCUGAAACCCGGAUCUAAGGUCCUAGUUGAGUGUGCAACAGUUGCAGUCACCACUAGAAAUAAAACUUGCUUAGCUAAAACUACAGUGAUAACGCUGGGCAGGCUGACUGAUGAUCAAGACAAAAGCUUUGGUAGUCUUCCACAGGUAAUAAAAUUGUUCCUAACAAGUUUUACCAACAAUGCUGAUGCAAUGGCAAGCAAAUAUGACUCAGUGGAGAAAGAGGAAAAGGAAACUGGAAAUGUAUAUUCUUUCUCCUCAACUGCAUAGGUACUAUGGAAGAGUACUUUUCCAAAGAAAGGGAACGCCGAAGAAACAUGUAAACAAUCUUCCCGAUUAAAAAGUUGCCAUAAGUACACCUAGUGGAAGGUGGGCAACGAGCAGGGUGAGCUCAAGGACUCCCGGAAACCCGGCUGGGUCAGUCCCAAGGAAUUCUCUGACGGACAGAGUAGCUGCGGACAGAGCAGCGCAUCCAGCACCUGCGAGCACAGGUGCAGCCCCAGCGCUGCCGGAGGGUAGAGGAAGCGAAACUGCCUCCGAUAGCCGGGAUGCCUCCUUUCCUGAACGGGUUGCG